AUUGAACGCUGGCGGCAGGCCUAACACAUGCAAGUCGAACGAGUGGCGGAAGGGUGAGUAAUGUCUGGGAAACUGCCUGAUGGAGGGGGAUAACUACUGGAAACGGUAGCUAAUACCGCAUACCAUCGGAUGUGCCCAGAUGGGAUUAGCUAGUAGGUGGGGUAACGGUUCAACUAGGCGACGAUCCGUAGCGGGUCUGAGAGGAUGACCAGUCACACUGGAACUGAGACACGGUCCAGACUCCUACGGGAGGCAGCAGUGGGGAAUAUGGGAAAAGGGGCGCAAGCAUGAUGCAGCCAUGCCGCGUGGAUGAAGAAGUCCUUCGGGUUGUAAAGUACUUUCAGUGGGGAGGCGUUACCCGCAGAAGAAGCACCGGCUAACUCCGUGCCAGCAGCCGCGGUAAUAC
rnacentral:rRNA from 1 species